AAGACAAAAAAAGAAAAGGGAAAAACACUAAAUAGUUAUUAUAUAUGGUUUGAGCAAAAAGUGCUUGUUACAGUUACCUCCAGGAUCUUUGCAUCUUUGACUCGAUGCCAAUUCCAAAGGUGUAGAUCAAUUGUUCAAUGCUGAUAUCUGUUGUGAAAAUAAGUCCAUGUUUAAAGACCCUGUAAGAAGAGUUUUCAACUUCCAAUCCAACCUACAAAGGAACAUGAUAACAAUUUCAAUCAUGAUCUAUCCAAUCUUGAGGCUGAGUCAAUUGCUUCUGGUGCUAUUUCAUCAAUUUCAUGACUCAAAUAAGAUACAGCAUACAUGUGUUUACUAAAUCUAAAUAUACAGAACCAAAUAAAGGAACCUUGAACUUCAAAGUCUAUGUCCAGAGAGGUACCUUCCGAAAGGCACCGAGAAAAUUUUUGCUUAUUAGUUUGCCACUCAUCCAUCUGCAAUUAUAACUGCAUUUUCUGUUAUCUUUUCAUUAUCUGCAACAGUUUUUGUUUUUUGAUUCCUUUUUUAUGGAAUUGUCAGUCAAAUUCUCAUUUGCUUUAUCGGCCACAAUUAUGUCAUUCUUUGCCUUACGAUCAGCUUUAGAUGAUUCCAUGCUGGCAUUGCCCAGGACAGUUUUCCCAUUUUGAUCAAGUUUCCGCAAACGAUCUGCAUGCUUCUUCCCCAUUUUAUGAGCCUCCAUCACCAUAGUAGAGUAAGCACCAACAUGACAUUCUUCGCACCAGAACUUAAAUUUCUUCUUCUUUCUAAAUUCUUCUGUCCUCUUCUCUCUCUGCAAUUUUGCUGCCACAUCUUUCUUCACACUUGUUGCGCCCUUAUUUUUCUGCUUCAACUGCUUUUCAUUUUUCUUCCCUGAAUCUUUUUCAUUCCCUAUAAUGAAAGUAGAUACAGACAAUUGAAGGCAAUAAAAUAAAAUUACGAUGAAAAUAAAGUGAGAUAAAAUAUGCGUAGAAUAGAUUUUGUAGUGAUAAUGUAGGGUCUUCUGCAAAUUUUCAAACGAGGAACUUACAGAAGUUGUUGUGUACUUGGUGCCUUUGGUAAUGAAGCGGCAUCUUGGCACUCAAAUUGGCUAGUGUGAGGUGUCUUUCUCUUCUAGAACAUUCACUUUGUAUUCCUCAUUCCACAAUCCUUAAAAUUAUCUAACACCUUACGUUCCAAUCAACGGAGUUUUUCAUCUCCAAAUGCAUAAAUUCACCCUCAUUCUGUAUAAAAAAAUCUUAUACUAUCCUCAACUUUUACUUUGAUCAAUUUACACUUCACUUGUAAAAUUGUAUCUAUCAAACACUUCAACUUAUAAAAUUAGAUCUAUUAAAAACUUAUUGGAUAGUUAAAAAUGCGAAAAAUAUUAUUUUAAAAAUGUAUUAACCACAAAUCAAACUAAUAUUUUGCAUAUAGAGCCAAAGACCUAAAAAGAUGUCAUUUCCAAUAUAAAAGCCAAAAUUGUAUACUGUUACUAAAUUCGUAACUUCAAAGAUAUAAUAGGUGCUCCCUAAAAUUUGAAGUGCUAAAAAUUUUUUUUGAUAAACUAUAGAGUGAAUUUAUGCCCUUUUAAUCAUUGAUAAUAGUUACAGACUCCAUAGACUUUUGCCUCAAAUACAAAGACCCAUAAUUGAUGAAUUUUAGAGUGUAAACAUCUACAAUAUCUAGAACCCUUGGCCACUUGGCCAUUUAAGGUUAUAUAUAUUUUUGAAAAACACAAAGAUUAUCAUAAUUCAAACCCACAACUUGGUCAAAAGGCUAGGCCAUUUGAACUAUCUGGCGUUUUGCAAAGCAAAGACAAGGGGCAAGACAAAAAAAGAAAAGGGAAAAACACUAAAUAGUUAUUAUAUAUGGUUUGAGCAAAAAGUGCUUGUUACAGUUACCUCCAGGAUCUUUGCAUCUUUGACUCGAUGCCAAUUCCAAAGGUGUAGAUCAAUUGUUCAAUGCUGAUAUCUGUUGUGAAAAUAAGUCCAUGUUUAAAGACCCUGUAAGAAGAGUUUUCAACUUCCAAUCCAACCUACAAAGGAACAUGAUAAC
rnacentral:lncRNA from 1 species